GCCAGUGUGGGGUAAUGGUCUGAGUGUGGAUUAGGAUUCCGAGAGACCAGGGUUCGAAUCCCUGUUCAGUCA